rnacentral:lncRNA from 1 species
AGCAAAUUAAGAAACGUGGAUUUCCAGAAGGACAAGUCAAACAAUGUUCUCUGCCCUAAGGUAUUCAGGGCUUUGUCAAUCAGAGCAGAGUUGUGGUUGUUCAGUUAUGUCUGACUCUUCCAUGGAUAGUAACUAUCCAUGGAGUUUUCUUGGCAAGGAUACUGGAGUGGUUUGCCAUUUCCUUGUCUUUUUCCAGUGAAUUAAGGCAAAGAGAAGUUAUGUGACUUGCCCAUGGUCAUAUAGCUAGUAAGUGUCUUAGGCUGGAUUUGAACUUGGGUCUUCCUAACUCCAGGACCAGCUUUCUAUCCACUGAGCCACCUACAGAGCGAGUAUUAAUAUGAAAUGGAAAGGAACCAGGAAGAUAAUCAUCAAGGACGUUUCAGAAAAGGUAUCUGUUCGUAAAUGCCGUCACCCAGUCCUGGAUCCCGCAGUGAGGUCAAUCAGUGUGACUGGAGCGCCAUCUGCAGGAUGUCCAUGGAAGAUGCAGGUGCUGAAUAACUACCGCAGCUGGCUGAGUCUCUCUCUACAUUUCCAGAUGUCUCUCUGGAAGUAGAGAAUGAGUCCAAAUGCAACUGUGCUGCCCAAUGGAGGAUCAUUCUCAAGUAUUUAGAGGAACAACGUCACCAUCUCCUUCUGUCUCCAGCCUCAAAGUUUGGAGUAGAAGUGUGUGUCACCCAACUUGGUCCCCCCCCAGAUUCCUUCCCUAGAUUCUCUCUCUGGUUCCUUACCCCCAAAUUCCCUCCUUUACAAGCACAAGCCUUCUUCCCCUUCAUCCUUCCUCUAGCCCUACCCCAAACCCUUGUUCUAUUUUUUAUUCCUCUGCUCAAAGACUUAGAGAUGUCAGGGACUUAGAAUCCAUUCACUGUGUCCAUUUCCCUUCCAGUCCCCCCCACCCCAGCUUUUGCUUCCUCCUUCCCACAACACACUCACCCGUUAGAGACAGAACGAUGGUUAUCCUGCCAUUGUGAGUGACAGUGGGAGACAGAUCCAGAGAAUCCAUGGCCACCCACUCUGCCACCUGGGCCAACGAUCUACAGUCUUCUGGCCUCGGGUUUCUGCUGCCUUGAACACCCAGCUAGUGUGGCGCAGGCUAAACUUCCACCACUGGAAGCAAGAGCUACAGUAACAAAAAGGGUUUUCACUUUGUGGUGGGAAAGAAGAGUAUCAAAUAAGGGACAGGACUCCUGCAGGUGGAUGAGACAAUGAUCAUGGACAGGUAACUGGAACUUUGGAGCAUGCCCAGAUCAUCUAAUAUGCAGGUACUCUGCUUCUGGGAGAAAGCAUCCUGUGUGCCUUACCACAUGGCAGUAGCAUCCUUCACUUGGAUGUAUAAACAUGAU